rnacentral:rRNA from 1 species
CCUACGGGUGGCUGCAGUGGGGAAUAUUGGACAAUGGGCGAAAGCCUGAUCCAGCCAUGCCGCGUGUGUGAAGAAGGCCUUCGGGUUGUAAAGCACUUUCAGUGGGGAAGAAAGCCUUGGGGCUAAUACCCUCGAGGAAGGACAUCACCCACAGAAGAAGCACCGGCUAACUCCGUGCCAGCAGCCGCGGUAAUACGGAGGGUGCGAGCGUUAAUCGGAAUUACUGGGCGUAAAGCGCGCGUAGGCGGUCUGAUAAGCCGGUUGUGAAAGCCCCGGGCUCAACCUGGGAACGGCAUCCGGAACUGGCAGGCGAGAGUGCAGGAGAGGAAGGUAGAAUUCCCGGUGUAGCGGUGAAAUGCGUAGAGAUCGGGAGGAAUACCAGUGGCGAAGGCGGCCUUCUGGACUGACACUGACGCUGAGGUGCGAAAGCGUGGGUAGCAAACAGGAUUAGAUACCCGAGUAGUC